AAGUAUUUUCUGCCCAAUGAUUAAAUUUUAAAUGGCUGCAGUAUUUUGACUGUGCAAAGGUAGCAUAAUAAUUAGUCUUUUAAUUGAGGACUGGAAUGAAAGGAUAUAUGAGAAACAUAUUUUAUUAUUUUUAUUUUUAAAAUUUUAUUUUUAAGUAAAAAAGCUUAAUUUUUUUUUAGGGACGAAAAGACCCUAUAGAACUUUAUUAUUUAUUAAUUUUGAAAAUUUUAGUUAAUAUAUUAAAUUAAUUAAUUAAAUAAUUUGAUUGGGGGGAUAAGUAAAUAUUUAACUUUAUUUUUUUAAUUCAUUUAAUUUAUGAAUUUUUUGAUCCAUUUUAUAUGAUUAUAAGAUUAAGUUACCUUAGGGAUAACAGCGUUAUUUUAGUGGGGAGAUCAUAUCUAUACUAAAGUUUGCGACCUCGAUGUUGAAUUAAGAAAAGUUUACAGGGGUAGUUUCUUUAAAAACUAAGUCUGUUCGACU
rnacentral:rRNA from 1 species